CCCGAAGUAUCCUGAAUCUUUCGCAUUGUUAAUCAUACAAGUGCAUAUAAUAAACACAAAAAUCGAUGAUAGUCAUGCCAUUAUAUAAUUUCGAAAAAUUAACGCACUGUAAUCUUAUAAAUCUAUCAGCACUUUAUCAAAGUUACAACUUUUAUUUUAUGUUAAAAUGCAAGCACUUUAAUUUAAAUAAACAAUGAUGCCAUAUUUUUCUGAUAAAUUGAUAUGCUAAUAGAUUACAAUGUCCUUAUAUGGAAAAAAUG
rnacentral:rRNA from 1 species